UGUAUGGUGGUCUUCGUUUGGCGUUUGUAUCCGUUUGUCAGCACAUUUCCGCCGUAGUGGAUCAUAACGCCCUCGGCCAUGAAGAAGGAGAACUGUGGUGUUGGAGGAUCUUCAGUGCCCGCUUAGAAGUCUAGCUUAGCUCAAAAUACACCAUAUACAAGAUGAAAGAUAGAUAAAGAGCGUUUCUAACUGGCCAAGCUACCAAAUUUCUGAUAGAGGGACUUGAUGGCGCCAAUGCUGGUUAGGACCAUUAGGACCAUAGUGACGACCUGCAUGAGAACAACGAAAUCCUGGCCUUGGCCCCUGAAAAUUCCAGUCUGCGUGUAUCCGUAAAACUGCGCCAUCAUGGCGAUCACGAAGGCGGCAAAGCUGAGGACCACGUGGAAGGUCUUGUUGACCAAGGGUGAGAUGGUCCUGCUCAGGGAUCUCGCCAGGAAGGCGACAAGUCCACUCAGCAAUGAGAUCAGGCACAGGAUGAAGGCGGCGAAACCCAGGCGUGCAUGCAACGUGACGCUAAUUGCCCAAUCGUCGCGUAUUAGUUGGAUCAAACAGCCGGCCACGCCCAUGCCGCCCCCCAGGAUCUGAAGGACCACGUGAAAGGCAGUCUUGUACUUUCGGGAGUAGCGCACCGUUAGCCAACUACCGUCGUAGAAGCACAUCAUUCCCUCGGCCAUUAGGAAAACAAAUCCGAAGGUAACCAGCCAGGCAUGAAGGCGAAUUCCCGAGAGGUCCUGGCGCAAGCAGGUCCAGCUGACCCAAAUGGUGACGAAUCCUAUGCACAGCUGGUUGAUCACAUAUAGCGCCGAUUCUAUAUGCUGCAGCAGUGACGUUGGUUUGGACUUUUCAUCGCUCAUUGUGGCGCUACCUUGGAAUUAUUUCACAGAAAUUGUAAUUGCAAUUUCAAGAAAUUAGUAAUUUUAAUUUCACAAACACUGCUAUUAGAUUCACAUGAGCUUUAGUUUAA